AAGAUUUUAAGUUAAAAAUAAACUAGUAACCUUCAAAGCUACCAAUAAAUUUUAUUAUUUAAGUCUUA
rnacentral:tRNA from 1 species